UACGGGGGGAGCAAGCGUUGUUCGGAUUUACUGGGCGUAAAGGGCGCGUAGGCGGCCACUGCAAGUCGGUUGUGAAAUCUCCGGGCUUAACCCGGAAAGGUCAAUCGAUACUGCAGGGCUAGAGUGCAGAAGGGGCUACUGGAAUUCUCGGUGUAGCGGUGAAAUGCGUAGAUAUCGAGAGGAACACCUGCGGCGAAGGCGGGUAGCUGGGCCGACACUGACGCUGAGGCACGAAGGCCAGGGGAGCAAACGGG
rnacentral:rRNA from 1 species